rnacentral:lncRNA from 1 species
UACUGCUUGUUUCACUUCCAGCUUUUCUCGGAUACCUUCCCCUCGAGUUUGCACCACUAGCUUUUACACUCUGAAAUUUUUCUUUCUCAGCUCUCUCUGGGCAGUCUCUAAUAAAAUGAUCCGGAGAACCACAUCAAAAACAUUCAUUUGCUCUGCACGGACCAAAAUGAUUUCUACCACACCGCUGGCACUCGGGUUUAACAAAUCUCGAGUUCCCUACACUGGCUGCAGAAGUAUUCUGAGAUUUAGGACCCACAUUCUGCUUCUUAAAAUUUCCAUAUGAUUGCCCAGCUGAA